UACGGGGGGGGCAAGCGUUGUUCGGAAUUACUGGGCGUAAAGGGCUCGUAGGCGGCCAACUAAGUCGGAUGUGAAAUCCCCAGGCUCAACCUGGGAACUGCAUCCGAUACUGGAUGGCUUGAAUUCGGGAGAGGGAUGCAGAAUUCCAGGUGUAGCGGUGAAAUGCGUAGAUAUCUGGAGGAACACCGGUGGCGAAGGCGGCAUCCUGGACCGAUACUGACGCUGAGGAGCGAAAGCCAGGGGAGCAAACGGG
rnacentral:rRNA from 1 species